rnacentral:rRNA from 3 species
AGACCCGAAACCCGGUGAUCUAGCCAUGGGCAGGUUGAAGGUUGGGUAACACUAACUGGAGGACCGAACCGACUAAUGUUGAAAAAUUAGCGGAUGACCUGUGGCUGGGGGUGAAAGGCCAAUCAAACCGGGAGAUAGCUGGUUCUCCCCGAAAGCUAUUUAGGUAGCGCCUCGUGAAUUCAUCUCCGGGGGUAGAGCACUGUUUCGGCUAGGGGGCCAUCCCGGCUUACCAACCCGAUGCAAACUGCGAAUACCGGAGAAUGUUAUCACGGGAGACACACGGCGGGUGCUAACGUCCGUCGUGAAGAGGGAAACAACCCAGACCGCCAGCUAAGGUCCCAAAGUCAUGGUUAAGUGGGAAACGAUGUGGGAAGGCCCAGACAGCCAGGAUGUUGGCUUAGAAGCAGCCAUCAUUUAAAGAAAGCGUAAUAGCUCACUGGUCGAGUCGGCCUGCGCGGAAGAUGUAACGGGGCUAAACCAUGCACCGAAGCUGCGGCAGCGACACUGUGUGUUGUUGGGUAGGGGAGCGUUCUGUAAGCCUGUGAAGGUGUGUCGUGAGGCAUGCUGGAGGUAUCAGAAGUGCGAAUGCUGACAUAAGUAACGAUAAAGCGGGUGAAAAGCCCGCUCGCCGGAAGACCAAGGGUUCCUGUCCAACGUUAAUCGGGGCAGGGUGAGUCGACCCCUAAGGCGAGGCCGAAAGGCGUAGUCGAUGGGAAACGGGUUAAUAUUCCCGUACUUGGUGUUACUGCGAAGGGGGGACGGAGAAGGCUAUGUUGGCCGGGCGACGGUUGUCCCGGUUUAAGUGUGUAGGUGUGUGUUCCAGGUAAAUCCGGUUCACUUUAACACUGAGGCGUGACGACGAGGCACUACGGUGCUGAAGCAACAAAUGCCCUGCUUCCAGGAAAAGCCUCUAAGCAUCAGGUAACAUCAAAUCGUACCCCAAACCGACACAGGUGGUCAGGUAGAGAAUACCAAGGCGCUUGAGAGAACUCGGGUGAAGGAACUAGGCAAAAUGGUGCCGUAACUUCGGGAGAAGGCACGCUGACACGUAGGUGAAGUGAUUUACUCAUGGAGCUGAAGUCAGUCGAAGAUACCAGCUGGCUGCAACUGUUUAUUAAAAACACAGCACUGUGCAAACACGAAAGUGGACGUAUACGGUGUGACGCCUGCCCGGUGCCGGAAGGUUAAUUGAUGGGGUCAGCGCAAGCGAAGCUCCUGAUCGAAGCCCCGGUAAACGGCGGCCGUAACUAUAACGGUCCUAAGGUAGCGAAAUUCCUUGUCGGGUAAGUUCCGACCUGCACGAAUGGCGUAAUGAUGGCCAGGCUGUCUCCACCCGAGACUCAGUGAAAUUGAACUCGCUGUGAAGAUGCAGUGUACCCGCGGCAAGACGGAAAGACCCCGUGAACCUUUACUAUAGCUUGACACUGAACAUUGAGCCUUGAUGUGUAGGAUAGGUGGGAGGCUUUGAAGUGUGGACGCCAGUCUGCAUGGAGCCGACCUUGAAAUACCACCCUUUAAUGUUUGAUGUUCUAACGUGGACCCGUUACCCGGGUUGCGGACAGUGUCUGGUGGGUAGUUUGACUGGGGCGGUCUCCUCC